CUUCGCUGUGGAUGAGAAGAUCUGUGCACGCUUCAGUUGCCGCCCGGGUGACUAAGCUGGUAUACAGCUUGUACAGUGUGUUGCACAGCGCAAUAGGCCUGUAGUUAGAGAUGGAGAGCGGGUCUGCCUUUUUGUACAGGAGAAUGGUGUCGCUUGUGGACCAGCCGGCCGGGAGUUCGGCCUUAAUCCACGCGACGCACAUGAGGGUAUGGACAGCGGAUUGUAACGCCUCUGGCAUGCA
rnacentral:lncRNA from 1 species